AACGUAGGACGCAAGCGUUAUCCGGAAUUACUGGGCGUAAAGCGCGUGUAGGCGGUUUUAUAAGUCACUGUUGAAAGCUCCCGGCUAAACUGGGAGAGGUGCGGUGAGACUGUGAGACUGGAGUAAGGAAGAGGGGUGCAGAAUUCCGGGAGUAGUGGUGAAAUGCGUAGAGAUCCGGAGGAAUACCAGAGGCGAAGGCGGCACCCUGGUCCAUUACUGACGCUGAGACGCGAAAGCAUGGGGAGCGAACGGG
rnacentral:rRNA from 1 species